GUGACCUCGGAUCAGGUAGAAGCCCAGUA
rnacentral:rRNA from 1 species